rnacentral:rRNA from 1 species
UACGUAGGGUGCGAGCGUUAAUCGGAAUUACUGGGCGUAAAGCGUGCGCAGGCGGUUCGUUGUGUCGGAGGUGAAAGCCCCGGGCUCAACCUGGGAAUGGCCGUUGAAACUGGCGAACUGGAGUGUGGCAGAGGGGGGUGGAAUUCCGCGUGUAGCAGUGAAAUGCGUAGAGAUGCGGAGGAACACCGAUGGCGAAGGCAGCCCCCUGGGCUAACACUGACGCUCAGGCACGAAAGCGUGGGGAGCAAACAGG